GUUCUGAUCCUGGUUUCUUGAAUCCAGUAUGUCCUCGGUCUACCAGGAUCAGAACUUGUACAGCAAGUAGCAAUUCUAUUUUUCGGGGGCCCUGAUGAUCGUGAGGCAUUGGCAUGUAGUAAAAGGAUUGCUAUGCAUCGUUACAUUAAGUUGACAUUGAUUCGUUUCCUAUCAUCAGUAUCAAAGGAACAACUUAACAAGUGGAGUAAUGAUGCUUCCAAUAAAGAUGAUGAAGUCCUGCUUGCAAUAUCAGAUCCUAAAGUUGACAAUGAGAUGGAUGAUGCAUCUGUUAAUGACUUCCUGAACAGGUAUGUAAAAUCUGGCAGAGCAACUUUUGCAGAGAAGUACGUGAACAACGGGGAGCAAACAGCGACAAUUUUAAGAGAGUUGGGAGAAAUGUAUUCAUUGAUCAUUGUAGGGAAGGGUAGGAGAGGGCACACACCAAUGUUAAUUGGUUUGACAGACUGGGAAGAGUGUCCAGAACUUGGAAUUGUUGGGGAUCUGUUAGCUUCUUCGGAAUUGAGUAUCAGUGGUUCAGUUUUAGUCAUUCAACAGCAUAGGAACCAUUUGAACAAAAACAAUGUUGAUGAAUUGUAGGAAAGUUGCAUAUUCAUAGGUGCUAGUUGAUCAUUGAAAAUGUAAUUGCCAAAUUAUAAUGGUUUGGUGGAAAUGAAUUUGGUCCAGGUAAAUUUAGAAUAUUAAUUGUUGCCAUAAUAAUUCCAAAUAUAUUUUCA
rnacentral:misc_RNA from 1 species